GGAAAAGGGGGCAGUAGGGAAGACGCUCAAGGUCACUUUGUAACAACUUUAUUGGCAACUAGUUAGGAAGGACAACGACAACCACACCGAGGUGGGCGGGCGGGCAGCGGCUGGUAAGGGAGAUGCAAGAAGAAGAAAUUCUCUCUGGCAGAGAGAGCGGAACAGAUUGCUUCUCUCUUGAUCUGAGCUGGUCAGAGGAUAGUGCGACUUUUUCUUCCAAUCGAUAUCUUGUGAGAUUUGGCCUUUUAACCCGUUGUUACUGUCUCCUUCCUAGAGGGACUCCCCUUCCUGUUCAUUCUCCUCCUCCGUGAAAUAGAACUGUGUGUGCGCGUGGGGAAGGAGUUCAUGCACUGCUUGACAGAAGAAAUGAGGGUCCCCAGCAAAGGGAACACAUUUCUUUAAUGGAAUCUGGUAAAGUAUUCACUCUGGAAAAGUAUUCCAGAAGUAUGGCUAAUCCUUCGACUGGCUGAGGACCUGAUCUGAAGUACAGGGACAAAGGAAAGAGCAUAUGAAGAGAUCAAAGAGUUUUGUGACUUUGGGCACAAAGUUGCGUCUUGGUAAUGAAGUGAGGAAGGAAAAUGAACAUCUAAACCUAUGCUAAUGCUAUAGGAUCAUUCUAUCAAGUGUCUGGAGGUGAAGCAACAAUCUCGCAACCACUGAGUACAGAAACUGAACAUUAAGGAUGGAGAAGUUGGAAGUGAAAAGGAGAUUGAGUUCUUAACUUUUUAUUUUUUUUUUUAAGUAGCUAGAGCUGCUAUUAUCUAUUUAUGGACUUCAGGUUAUACAAGAAAGAAACUUCUAUUUGCUGAAGCCACUGAGGUCAACCUUCUUUUAGAUGCAGCUGAACACAACACAAACUGAGGGUCUACAUCUUUGACCCUUUUUGAUCUUUAGUCUGUGAUUACAGCAGAAAUAACCCUCUUCUCACAGAAUUUAUGUUAAUUUAGAUGUUUUUUUCCAUGUUCCAUGGGACCAACAAGGAGAUAGAGCCAUUUUAGCAAUUUGAACAAAGAAAAUGUAAUGUAAAGAUUGUUAACCAAUAAAAGGUAUCUACUAAGAAGAA